GCCAGCUUGGCUCAGGGGUUAGAACAUCGCACUCGUAAUGCGAAGGUCAUCGGUUCGAUUCCGAUAACUGGCU
rnacentral:tRNA from 1 species